AUUAGUUGGUCCAGCCGGAUUAGUUGAUCCAGCUGGGUUAGUUGAUGCAGCCGGAUUAGUUGAUGCAGCCGGAUUAGUUGACGCAGCCGGAUUAGUUGAUCCAGCCGGGUUAGUUGAUCCAGCCGGAUUAGUUGAUCCAGCCGGAUUAGUUGAUCCAGCCGGAUUAGUUGAUCCAGCCGGAUUAGUUGAUCCAGCUGGAUUAGUUGAUCCAGCCGAAUUAGUUGAUCCAGCCGGAUUAGUUAAUCCAGCCGGAAUAGUUGAUCCAACCGGAUUAGUUGAUCCAGCCAGAUUAGUUG